UCGUUUUAAACGCGUUUGGCGACCACGUUCGUGCUUCCACUCGUUCCACGUAGACACAGAGAAGCCACGGGUCGAACAUUGGUCGAGGUCCUAAAGCUGGAACGCGAACACGUUAGCUCUGGACGACCGUAAUAACUGCAAAACGAGAUCGUGGGCAACCAUUAUGCCAAAAUUGCCUGCAAACAUUUAAUAUCGACACGGCUUGGCGCGGCAAAAGCGUAUCAGGCACACGAAAAUUGACGAUACCAGGAGAAACGGUGACAGGAUCGACCAGCACCAUCGGCAGAUUGUUCGCGUUUCACCGCGGCCACCGCAGCGUGCUCUAUGCGAAAGGCUGUACACAAUUCCCGAUGCAUAUAUGAUACCACGAGGAGCAGAUACAAGGGAUGAUCGACUGAUUGGACAGACCAGCCUGAGCGUGUUUGGUCCGACGAGGACACAGCAACGGUCAAAGCACGGCCCGGAAUCCGGUCCACUCGGCCCGUUCGCAACGGACGAUGGAUUCGUCGGUACAUGAAGAUGCGCCACGAAAGCCCUGGCGGUCUACUCGUUACAAGGCCCGUGCGUGUGCGCCAGCCUGAUGCAUCCGUUUCGUCGAAAUCGAAAUGCCCAGGAAGGCGAACCGCUCCUCCAGGUUGCGAUCACCCGGUUGAUCGUUUCGGAGAAGACACGAUGUUGCUACAGCGGCUGCUUCAAAAGUAGGGUUGCGUUAGUUCGCGUCAUAAACAUACCUCAGGAUAGCGUCAUACUAUGUCAAACUGGACACUUCUUACAGUAACAUCCUAAAUUUGGCUGAAUCUUUUAUGCGUUGUGAUAUUAGAUAUUUUUAAA